CUGAGGGUCACGGUUAUCUCUGUCGACACCCCAACACUUGGAAUAUUUCCUUGUCUCAAUUAACAGGGGUUGCUGUGUUGCUAAGAGGAUCCUGCAGACAUUCACUGGCACUCCACAAAACAUUGCUGCAGUGAAGUCUCCUGACCUAAGAAGGAGUCACCCAGACCAGGGCUACAUUUUGGAAGGAGGAAGGGCCUCCAAGAGGGCCAGUGUUUCCUUGAUGCUGGUCAUAAAAUGAAGUUUGAGUGGUACCAUUCCACAAGAAUCAGAACAACGUGGUAAAAAAAAAGAAAGAAACAAAGAAACAAAGAAACAAAGAAACAAAGAAACAAAGAAAGAAAGAAACAAAGAAAGGAAGGAAGAGGAAAGAAAGAAACAUGGAGCCAUUUCCUGCCCACUCCGGGUGCCCAUUAUCCUACGCCAGUUGUCAAAGACAUGCUUGGGAAAUUGGAAGUGCACAUGGCAGCCACAGGCCCAGAGGCUGAAGUCAAUACAGUCAUUGUUCAUUUCAAAGUCCAGUUGCAUGAGCAGGAGGCGAUUUUAUGAGACACAAAUUAUAGCUCUUAUUAGCCAGUGUUGAAAAGGAUGCUAGAAAUGAGUCGUUGUGCAGAAGGUGGGCAGAGAGCUGCUUCAGAAUUAUUAAGCUCAGUAUUUAAAAGGAAGAGAAAAUGCCGGUAAAUGCUACGUCUCUCUUCUUACUGGUUUGUUCUUUCAGUAAAACCAUUGGUGUGAGAUUAGGUUUCAAGUCUACCUAGAAAGCUGUAGGAAAAGUGAAUACCAUAACCUUUGGCGGAUUUAGUUUCGCCCCGGAUAUUCUGAAGUUUUCUUUGUCUACGUACAGUAUCUCUUGUCAAUAUAAUAUAGUUAAUGGCCAGGAGUUGCAGGGAGCCCCGCUUUUCACUCCAUCUGCCUCUGACACAUUGAGUUUAACUUAAUCAGGGUUUGAAGCUGAUUCCUUGGAGCACUUUCCAGGGCCCUUGUGUAAGGGGGGAAACUUUCCCACUCUCGCAAGACAUAAGGUUGUGAUUAUGGCAAAUCUCCUCAGUGACACGCCCCCCCCCACCAUCCUUCCUGUGGAUUGAGUUUAAUCUUUGUUUCAAAUACACUCAUUCUUCAGA